GUGCAGGCCGCCUUUGGAAUGGGAUGAGCGUUUGAGGUACCAUGAGUGAUGAUGGCCGCAGGGUCUGACUCUGGAAUGAGCAGGUGAUGAAGAGGAACCUGGCGACUGCCGGAUCAUCCCAGUUAGGCCGUGUGAUUUUUGGGGAGGAUGGAUUCGUACCCUUGGCCCUCUGAAAGUUAAGUUGAGGGACCCGGGCUGGGGAGAGGCUG